rnacentral:rRNA from 1 species
ACAGCAGUAGCCGCGGGAACACAGAGGGUGCGAGCGUUAAUCGGAUUUACUGGGCGUAAAGCGUGCGUAGGCGGCUUUUUAAGUCGGAUGUGAAAUCCCUGAGCUUAACUUAGGAAUUGCAUUCGAUACUGGGAAGCUAGAGUAUGGGAGAGGAUGGUAGAAUUCCAGGUGUAGCGGUGAAAUGCGUAGAGAUCUGGAGGAAUACCGAUGGCGAAGGCAGCCAUCUGGCCUAAUACUGACGCUGAGGUACGAAAGCAUGGGGAGCAAACAGGAUUAGAGACCCCAGUAGUCCCUGUCUCUUAUAA